rnacentral:tRNA from 11 species
CGCGGGGUGGAGCAGUUCGGUAGCUCGCUGGGCUCAUAACCCAGAGGUCGCAGGUUCAAAUCCUGCCCCCGCUACGA